GCACUUUAGCCUUGAAAGCAUUGCAGUCUUCAGUUGAAUGCCCUAUUGUUCCGGCAUGAUAUCCACGUUGCACAUCAGGAUCAUAUCCAGGUGGGUGGAGGUUGGGUAGUACCAUUUACUGGAGCUGGAAUAACAUUCUCUACGACUGCAGUCUGCUGGAUGUUGUCCUCCCUCUUUUCUAAAGCUAUCAUAGCCUCCACAAGUUGGUCUAUCUGGUUUUUUUAUCGAGUCAGCAUCUCCUCUUAAUGCAAUGUGACUUUGCUCCAAUGGGUCCAUGGUUUUUCAAGAGCUACUUCAAGUCUGAUAUAAGUGUCAGGAAAUCAACUGUAGGUUAUGGACGGAAGAUGAAUGAGUUUUUUUUGUAUUUAUAUUUUUGGUGAAAAAAUAAUAUGCAAUGCAUGACGAUUGCAGAUGCAAUGAUAUGUGUAUGAGUUGUAGUGACAUGUUCAGGAUCACAGGUUCAAAGUGUUUUCAGAUGGAUCAGAAUAACGGGUAAAUGACAAGUAUCUCUGAUUAAUGGAACCCCAUGGGCAGGCUCUACAGUUGGUAGGUUCCCAGAGUCAUGGAUAUUUCUUGAGGACGUCACUGCCGUGACGAAGACUCGUCGGACAAUAGUAUCCUUAAGAAGAUCUCGUCUAGGUGAGGUCUUUGUGUUAUCCCAACAAGGAAAACUCCAUGAGGAUUCUACUACACGACUCUCGAGUCCAGGGUUCUAACAAGGUUCUCAGAGUCAU
rnacentral:lncRNA from 1 species